rnacentral:ncRNA from 2 species
CAUAGAUCAUGUGACUGACGGAAGUGGGUUGACCACAGGGAGCAUGAUCGAUGCGAGCCGACCGUCUGGGCAGAGAUU